rnacentral:rRNA from 1 species
UACAGAGGGUGCGAGCGUUAAUCGGAAUUACAGGGCGUAAAGCGUGCGUAGACGGUAGCGUAAGUCAGAUGUGAAAGCCCCGGGCUCAACCUGGGAAUGGCAUUUGAGACUGCUCUGCUCGGGUGCGGAAGAGGGAAGCGGAAUUUCCGGUGUAGCGGUGAAAUGCGUAGAUAUCGGAAGGAACACCAGUGGCGAAAGCGGCUUCCUGGUCCGACACCGACGUUCAGGCACGAAAGCGUGGGGAGCAAACAGG